rnacentral:rRNA from 1 species
GUCUGGUUAAUUCCGUUAACGAACGAGACCUUAACCUGCUAACUAGUCCCGCCAUUCCCGAAUGGCGGCCGACUUCUUAGAGGGACAACUGGCUCCGAAGCCAGUGGAAGUUUGAGGCAAUAACAGGUCUGUGAUGCCCUUAGAUGUUCUGGGCCGCACGCGCGCUACACUGACGAAGUCAGCGAGCAUGUCCUACGCCGGCAGGUGCGGGGAAUCUUGUGAAACUUUGUCGUGCUGGGGAUUGAUUUUUGAAAUUCUUGAUCAUGAACGAGGAAUUCCUAGUAAGCGCAAGUCAGCAGCUU